ACAUUUCUGACUAAACCCAUCAAAAUAUUUAUUUCCUAAUUAAUUAUACAGGUCAGUAUUUUCCAAUUACCAAAUAUUUAGACAUAACAGCUGUGCAAACUGUGGCCGUAUUAUUUUGAAUAUUUUGGUUUAAAAAGUGGGGUACAUUUGUGGAGCUUUUAUUAUUAUGGCUCAUUCAAUUAAUAACCAUCUGUGUUUCAACUGUUACUCUUCCAGCUUUGAUUCAGUCCUUGGCGCAACUCUAGCAGGAGGUGGAGCUUGACAGGCAGCACAUCAGAAACAAUCUAUCAGCACAACUUAUUUUAGACUCUUGAUUGAUGCUGCUCUACAACAUCUAAUUGGGCUCCACUAUCAGCAAUGCAGCUCGUCAUGUUAGUGGUUUUAUUUGUUGGGUUUACUGGUGAAAGUCAUCAGCAAACAAUCCUCUCAAUCCAGGACAGUCCAGUCCAGGCUCUACAAGGAGACGGCGUGACUCUCUCCUGCAACUACUCUUCAGCAACAUACUUCUUCUGGUAUCGGCAGUACCCCAGCUCACCUCCCCAGUUACUUAUCAAAGAUUACAUGGAGCUAUCUGGAUUUACCUUGAAAAAGGACAGUGAAAGAAAAGUGUUUGCUCUCGAGAUCUCCUCUGCUGCAGUGACAGACUCUGCUCUGUACUACUGUGCUGUGCAGCCCACAGUGACAGGAAACACAGACUCCCUGUACAAAAACCUGACAAGGAACUGGAAGAGCAUUUGUCAUUGCUUUCAACUGUGGUUCAGGGGAGGGGCAACUGGAGAGGUGAAUUCACCAGGAGUCUAGUGAAGAAACAGUAUGUUACAACUAGGAUACAGAGGUAGAAUGUUUAGCUUCAGGGCUCCCAUGGGGUUUGAAAUGAUGGCAGUCCUCUUUCUACUUCUAGUUUGUAAAUUAACAGGUAAGUCACAGCCCACCAGAAACUCAAAAAAUUAAAGGGAACAUG